UACGUAGGGUGCGAGCGUUAAUCGGAAUUACUGGGCGUAAAGCGUGCGCAGGCGGUUUUGUAAGCCAGGUGUGAAAUCCCCGGGCUCAACCUGGGAAUGGCAUUUGGGACUGCAAGGCUGGAGUGCGGCAGAGGAGACUGGAAUUCCUGGUGUAGCAGUGAAAUGCGUAGAUAUCAGGAGGAACACCGAUGGCGAAGGCAGGUCUCUGGGCUGACACUGACGCUCAUGCACGAAAGCGUAGGGAG
rnacentral:rRNA from 1 species